UUACUUGUGAAUGUGAACAAGGCUACAGUGGGAGAUAUUGUGAAAAUAGCAUUUACGGCACAAGUUUGACAAUUGGAAUGUUGUUUGUGGGCAUAAUUGUUGGGGCCUUCGGAGUAAUUGGUGGAUUGAUCGGCUACACGAGGAUUAAACGGAAGGCACAAAUAGGCAAGAGGAGUGCGAACCAGAGACAGAACUUAGAUACUUACAUGGACUACGUAGUAGAUGAUCAAACUGCUGGCAAUGAAAACCAAACUUACCAAGAUCUACAACACAGAGAAGAAACAGAUUAUGUUAAUGCGAUGCCGAG